rnacentral:lncRNA from 1 species
AUGAUUACCUACCGAGAUCUCAUCAGCCACAAAGAGGUAUCCUCUGACUUUUACAAAGAUCCUGGAGAUCAGGGACAGGCUGUGCCUUGAGAUGGAGGGGAAAAAGGUCAGUAGGACAGAGGGUAACAUCAAAGACUUGCCCAUUAGUGAGAAUGCCUCCACUGAAGACCCCUAGGGUAAAGGUACAGAAAGCACAGUAUUUGAUGCUGUUGUUAUCAUCAUGAAACAUCACUCGCCAGAAACCAGCUCCGCAAAAGAAGCCUACAGGAAAUACAUCAAAAAUUACGUGAGAAGAGUCAAAGGCAAACGUGAAGAACAGAGACCGUAAAAAGUAAAAUCUUUUAUGACAGACUGCAGAACAAAUCAAGCACAUCCUUGCUAAUUUCAAAAACUACCAGUUCAUUAUUUGUGAGGACAUGAAUCCAGAUGGCAUGCUGGCUCUAUUGGACUACCAGGAAGAUGACGUGACCCCAUAUAUGAUUUUCUUUAAGGAUGAUUUAGAAAUGGAAAAAUGUUAA